rnacentral:rRNA from 1 species
GACGAACGCUGGCGGCGUGCCUAAUACAUGCAAGUAGAACGCUGAAGCGAGGAGCUUGCUCUUCUUGGAUGAGUUGCGAACGGGUGAGUAACGCGUAGGUAACCUGCCUUGUAGCGGGGGAUAACUAUUGGAAACGAUAGCUAAUACCGCAUAACAAUAGGUGACACAUGUUAUUUAUUUGAAAGGGGCAAUUGCUCCACUACAAGAUGGACCUGCGUUGUAUUAGCUAGUAGGUGAGGUAACGGCUUACCUAGGCGACGAUACAUAGCCGGACUGAGAGGGUGGACCGGCCACCCUGGAACGGAAACACGGCCAGAACUCCUAGGGAGGCAGCAGUAGGGGAACUUUGGGCAUUGGGGGAACGCCGAACGAGCAAAGCCCGGUGGGUGAAGGAGGUUCUCCGGUCGUAAAGCUCUGUUGUUAAUGAAGAACGAGUGUGAGAGUGGAAAGUUCACACUGUGACGGUAGCUUACCAGAAAGGGACGGCUAACUACGUG